rnacentral:rRNA from 1 species
CCUACGGGUGGCAGCAGUGAGGAAUAUUGGUCAAUGGGCGCGAGCCUGAACCAGCCAAGUAGCGUGAAGGAUGACUGCCCUACGGGUUGUAAACUUCGUUUAUAAAGGAAUAAAGUGAGGCACGUGGGCCUUUUUGUAUGUACGGUAUGAGUAAGGAUCGGCUAACUCCGUGCCAGCAGCCGCGGUAAUACGGAGGAUCCGAGCGUUAUCCGGAUUUAGUGGGUUUAAAGGGAACGUAAAUGGGUUGUUAAGUCAGUGGUGAAAGUUUGCGGCUCAACCGUAAAAUUGCAAUUGAUACUGGCAGUCUUGAGUACAGUUGAGGUAGGCGGAAUUCGUGGUGUAGCGGUGAAAUGCUUAGAUAUCACGAAGAACUCCGAUUGCGAAGGCAGCUUACUAAACUGCCACUGACAUUGAUGCUCGAAAGUGUGGGUAUCAAACAGGAUUAGAUACCCCUGUAGUC